UAAAUCUAGUGAAUAUAUUUUAUCUCAAAUAAAAAAAAAAAAACAUAAAUUCGACUUGAACCUAAAAAAAAAGCAACAUCUCAUGUUGUUGCCUAAAUUGAUCUAUAUAGAACUUGGAUUCUUUACCCCAAUUUGUCAAUAAUGCUUCAUUCAUUCAUCAACAAUUGUCACACAUUCUUAAGCCUUGAGGGGCAAGUCUCUGUUUCCCUUCCUUUUUUUCCCUUGAAAUGCUAAAUAACAGAUGUGUCAAAUGAAAGGGUAGGCCAAGGGCCAAGUCAGGCAGUGUACUAAUGAGCUUGAAGAAGGAACCGCACUCUGCUCCACCUGACACCUGCAUCAUACAUUACAUGUCUCUCCAUCUCUAAUCAAUCUUCACUUCAUACCUUAGCAAUUUUUGCAUCAUAACCUGAUUGUUGCCUGAAGGUCCAUUUUACAAACCAAACCAGAUCCAGCAAAAGCAGUAUUUAAUUGCAAGCCCAUCCCUUAAAAUUACAAGCCCAAACCAAUCCCCCUAUCUACAUCACAUCACCACGCCUGACCCGUUACGGAUCAUUCUUACGACACCGUAUCCAGUAAUAUUUAAUUGCAAUUUGGGUGAUAUCAGCCUCGUCAAAACCUACGCAUGCGCAUCUUGGAAACAAACAAUUAGCACAUAUUCUGAUUCUUGACACAAGUACAGUCCCAGAGUGGUGAGUGUGAGGAUGAGGGAGACUUUCACAUCAAUGGCCCAGCAAAUCUCUGUACCUGAAUCUGAGAGGAGGAUUUUGUUUCCAUCAAAGGAAGAUGCUCUCUUACCCUCCUUCUUCGUAUUAUUGCAGGAGCAAUCACAAGGAAAGAGGCUUGGCACUUUUGCUUUGAUAGACACAUUCUCAAGUGAUCAAAGGAGGCUGUAGAGCAUGGAAGGUAGCAGUCGCAGUUCUAAAAGUUCAUCAGGCAAAAACAAAUGUUCGGAUGCUUUGGAAACAAUCGGCAAAGACCCGUCAGAGUUGGAAAAACUACAGAAAGAGCACGAGGAAAAGACGAGAAAGAUUCAAGAACUGAAAAGCCAAAUUGAAGCAGUGAAGCUUCGGUUGGAGAAGAGGAAGAAGGAAGUUCCACAGGAGAAGAUGGAAUCUUUCAACAACUUGACUGAGAAAUACAACAGCAUGAGGGCUCAAUAUUAUGCUUUGUUGGCUGAAAAAAUCGAGGGACUAGAAUAAUAGAAUAGUCUUUGACAGGUGUUAGACUGAAGUAUCAUGUUUCUCUUGUAUAAUUUAGCUGGAUUUCUCUUUAUUGUUUUGUGACAUCAGC